GACGAACGCUGGCGGCGUGCUUAACACAUGCAAGUCGAACGAUGAAGCCGGAGCUUACUCUGGUGAAUUAAUGGCGAACGGGUGAGUAACACGUGAGUAACCUGCCCUUGACUCUGGGAUAACUGCGGGAAACUGUAGCUAAUACCGGAUACGACCCUCGGAGGCAUCUCCUGGGGGUGGAAAGAAUUUCGGUCAAGGAUGGACUCGCGGCCUAUCAGCUAGUUGGUGAGGUAAAGGCUCACCAAGGCGACGACGGGUAGCCGGCCUGAGAGGGUGACCGGCCACACUGGGACUGAGACACGGCCCAGACUCCUACGGGAGGCAGCAGUGGGGAAUAUUGCACAAUGGGCGCGAGCCUGAUGCAGCGACGCCGCGUGAGGGAUGACGGCCUUCGGGUUGUAAACCUCUUUCAGCUAUGACGAAGCGCAAGUGACGGUAGUAGCAGAAGAAGGACCGGCCAACUACGUGCCAGCAGCCGCGGUAA
rnacentral:rRNA from 1 species